rnacentral:rRNA from 1 species
CCCGCUGAACUUAAGCAUAUCAAUAAGCGGAGGAAAAGAAACCAACAGGGAUUGCCUCAGUAACGGCGAGUGAAGCGGCAAGAGCUCAAAUUUGAAAGCUGGGCCUUUCAGGUCCCGCAUUGUAAUUUGCAGAGGAUGCUUCGGGAGUGGUCCCCAUCUAAGUGCUCUGGAACGGGCCGUCAUAGAGGGUGAGAAUCCCGUAUGGGAUGGGGUGUCCACGCCCGUGUGAAGCUCCUUCGACGAGUCGAGUUGUUUGGGAAUGCAGCUCUAAAUGGGUGGUAAAUUUCAUCUAAAGCUAAAUAUUGACCGGAGACCGAUAGCGCACAAGUAGAGUGAUCGAAAGAUGAAAAGCACUUUGAAAAGAGAGUUAAAAAGCACGUGAAAUUGUUGAAAGGGAAGCGCUUGCGACCAGACUCGCCUCUAGGGUUCAGCGUGCAUUCGUGCACGUGUACUUCCCUUGGGGCGGGCCAGCGUCGGUCUGGGCGGCCGGUAAAAGGCUCUCGGAAUGUAACGCCUCUCGGGGCGUCUUAUAGCCGGGGGUGCCAUGCGGCCAGCUCAGACCGAGGAACGCGCUUCGGCUCGGACGCUGGCAUAAUGGUCGUAAACGACCCGUCUUGAAACACGG